rnacentral:misc_RNA from 1 species
UAGAUAGAUGGAUAUGUCGGU